rnacentral:misc_RNA from 1 species
GAUGAAGAACGUAGCGAAAUGCGAUAAGUAAUGUGAAUUGCAGAAUUCAGUGAAUCAUCGAAUCUUUGAACGCACAUUGCGCCCGCCAGUAUUCUGGCGGGCAUGCCUGUUCGAGCGUCAUUUCAACCCUCAAGCCCCAGCGGCCUGGUGUUGGGGACCGGCGACCUCGCCCGAGCCCGCCCUCCGGGGCGCGUGCCCGGUGCGUCCGCCGCCCCCGAUAUGAAUUGGCGGCCUCGUCGCGGCCUCCUCUGCGUAGUAGCACAACCUCGCAAGCGGGAGCGCGACGCGGCCACUGCCGUAAAACGCCCAACUUUUUUAGAGUUGACCUCGGAUCAGGUAGGAAUACCCGCUGAACUUAAGCAUAUCAAUAAGCGGAGGA